rnacentral:lncRNA from 1 species
UAUGCAUGAACCUCAGUUUUACCAUCAAGCAGCACCCCAUCCUGCCUGGCAGGAUGCUAUGGUUAAAGAAUUUCAAGCCUUGCAGGCAAAUCAGAUUUGGGACAUUGUUCCUUUGCCUCUAGGAAAGAAGGCCAUACCAUGAAAAUGGGUAUAUAAAAUCAAACAAAGGUCUAAUAGUUCAAUUGAGAGAUACAAGGCAAGAUUAAUGAUUAGAGGUGAUUCUCAGAAAGAGGGCAUAGACUAUUUUGAAACUUUCAAUCCAGUUGUCAAAAUCACAACUAUUAAGUGCCUUCUCACCUUAGCAGUCAAGCAUGGUUGGGCAGUCCACCAAUUGGAUGUCAACAAUACUUUCCUACAUGGUGAUCUCAUAAAGAGGUGUACAUGAAAAUCCCUUUGGGCUUGACUAUUGCUCCUUCUUCCUCUGAUCCUUCUUUAGCCUGCAAAUUGAAGAAAUCUCUCUAUGGUCUAAAGCAGGCUUCUAAACAAUGGUUUCCAAAGCUCUCCCAAUCUCUUCUUUUCAGAGGUUACUUCCCUAGCAAGAAUGACUCCUCUUUAUUCACCAAAAUCACUUCCUCCUCCAUUAUUAUUUUGGUAGUCUAUGUGGAUGAUAUCCUUUUAGCCAUCCACUGCCACGGCCCAGACGAGAGCUUAAAUUUGCCCCUAAUAAAAGAGAAACAAAUGAGAGGUUUUUGUUCUAUUCGAUUACUAGUAAACAAAUUUCUUCCAUCCAUUAUAGUUAGUUAGUAUUAUCUAUAGUAAUUUGUUAAUACUCGUUGCCACAUGACAAAAUAAUUAUGAUAAUUUGCUUAGCAUAUAGACAUCAUCACAUGACAAAAUAAUAUACGCGUGAUAAUUUCAGCUCUCAGCUACGUACGUUACAUUUACCUUGCUCAAUUUGACCAUGCCACUGUUGACUAAGUCAUGUCUAACAACCUCCAAUCCCAUACAUUGUCGAUCGUCCAACCAUUAAUCCCUGCUAGUGUCAGUUCUAAUGAUUGUUGUUGAAUUUUUUAGCAUCCACAAUGAGUAGUUGUACCAAUUGUUACUCAGCAUAUACUACCAUCCGCAACGGGAAAGAAAAGAGAAAAAAGGAAUGUAUGGAUGGAAAAUUAAGGAAAGAAACUCAUGUCGAGAAAGAUACUUGACUCCUGUGGUGGAUAUAGCAUUAGCAGCAUAUGUGGUUACACCUAUUGUCUG